UUCGUGGUCAGUAACUGGGGUUAAGAGAGAGAAAGAGAGCGCAGGGGAAAAUGUCGGUGCGUUGGUGGGGUCCGUCGUGCGACUAGCGACUUUCGCCCACUGUUUCUCUCGUGAUUUUGUCGAACAUACUUUUUUUUUUAUUUUUCCGUUUCUCACGCGAGAACGAGUCGCGAAAAAUUGGUUGAUUUGUUUGAGUGUUCGCUAAAAGGUGGAUUGAAAAGAUCUAAAUUGACGGGUUUUUUGCGUCGAGAAUUUUUCUGUUAUACACGCGCGUGAGAGAGGAGCCAACAGCCAAAGCCUUCGAUCGUUAUAAAACCUAUAUACAUAUACACAUACACGUAUAUAUGUAUAUAUAUACCUUAACCAUAUAUAUAAAUAUAUAUUAGUGUGUGUUGUGCGUUCCGUGCGUUCGGGGAGCGCGCGGUGUUUUGUGACCAAACGGCCGUACAGAUCUAAGAAAUUUCCAACGAGCCCGAGCAUAGAGACACCGUGUACAAAAGAGACGAGAAAGCAUGGCGGCCCUCGGAAUACUCGGAAAAGUCGAGUUCGUUGUGGGCGGCAAGUACAGAUUAAUGAGAAAAAUUGGCUCCGGAUCUUUCGGUGAUAUUUAUCUUGGCAUCAAUAUUACAAAUGGCGAGGAAGUCGCAGUUAAGGUGGAAAGCGUCAGAGCACGUCAUCCUCAGCUGCUCUAUGAAUCGAAGCUGUACAAGAUAUUGGCGGGUGGUAUUGGAAUACCUCAUAUGCGCUGGUAUGGCCAAGAACGAGAAUGGAACGUCUUGGUUAUGGAGUUACUCGGCCCCUCGCUUGAGGAUUUGUUCACCUUUUGUUCCCGGAGAUUCACCAUCAAGACCGUUCUCAUGUUGGCAGAUCAAAUGAUCGGCAGGAUCGAAUUUGUACAUUGCAAACACUUUAUACACAGAGAUAUCAAACCCGACAACUUUUUGAUGGGUAUCGGUCGUCACUGUAACAAGCUCUUCAUCAUCGACUUCGGUUUAGCCAAGAAAUACCGGGAUGGACGUACGCGACUUCACAUAAUGUAUCGCGAGGAUAAAAAUUUAACCGGAACAGCCAGGUACGCAUCGAUAAACGCCCACCUUGGUAUCGAACAAAGUCGUCGGGAUGACAUGGAGUCGCUUGGUUACGUUCUCAUGUACUUCAACCGAGGUUCGCUGCCCUGGCAAGGUCUCAAAGCUGCAACCAAGAAACAAAAAUACGAGAAAAUUAGCGAGAAGAAAAUGUCCACCCCCGUUGACAUAUUGUGCAGGGGAUUCCCCGCGGAGUUCGCGAUGUACAUAAAUUACACAAAGGGAAUGCGUUUCGAGGAAAGUCCCGAUUACAUGUAUCUUCGUCAACUCUUUCGAAUUCUUUUUGGUACGCUCAAUCAUCGGUACGAUUACACGUUUGAUUGGACGAUGCUUAAGCAAAAAAUGUUGCCGAGUGGCGUUACGGUACCGCAGACUUCACCGACCACGGGACAACAAGGUAUAGCAGCAGCAGGUGAGGCCGCAACGAAAAAGAAUGCUUGCGGUAGUGUGACUCGGCAGGCGGUCAACAACACUUCCAAGAAAGGUUUCGAAGGAGAGUGACAACUGUCAGGAUCUUCGAUCAUCACUUACGCGCAGCCGGAAUUCUGGGAUUAAAAAUUUGUUUGCUUCGGUUAUUUGAGUGAAAGAGAAUAUGAGAGAGAGAGAGAGUGAGUGAGUGACUGAGAGAGUGAGAAAGAGAGCGAGAGUCAGGAAAGUAGUGACUGUGUGAAAGCGUGAGGGACAAUGGAAAAAACGAAAAAAAUUCGAGGACAGAAGGAAAAAGGGAAAACGCAGAGCAAGAGAGAAAGAGAGAGACAGAGUUCAGGUGCACCCUAAAAAAAUCGAUUCGUACUGUACGUGACAAAACAAAAGCACCAAUAAUCCCGAAAGUUCUGGAGUAUCUCGAAAACAAAUUUAAAAAACAAAACGAACUCGAAUGAAUACAAACAAACAAACAAAUAGUUCAACACGAAACACCGCCGGAGCAAAAAUACGCUAAAAGGAAAAAAAAAACUAAAUGAUUUGAAAACAAGAAACAUUUGUGUACCAGACUCUGAAAGUAAAAGGAAAAAAGAAAAAAUCAUUAUCUCCGACUGAGAAAAAGAAGACAAAACGAGAGCAAGCUGAACAUAUAUCACACACAUACUAUUAAUAAUUAUAAACAUGUGGAAACGAAGGACGAACCCUCGAAUUCGAAAAUAUGACGUUGUGCCAGAAUUUUUCUUUUUUCUAUUGUGCACUGAAAAUACGCAAACGUCCUCGUCUCGAAGUUUCCUCUCAUUCGCUCUCGCUCUCUUUCUCUCUCUCUCUCUCUCUCUCUCUCUCUCUCUCUCUCUCUCUCUCUUACUUUCAUACUCUCUCAUGAAUUUUACAAGGGUACAUAGUAAUUCAUAUUGCCGUAUAAAAACUUCAUUUGUCAAUCGUGACUCGCGUUCUUAGUUUCAUUAUUAUAUACGAAUAACUAUAAUAUGUUUAAAGAGACAAGAAAAAUGGAGGAUAAUUUGGAUAUAAGAAAAGUAUGUUUUUUUUCUUAAUUUUAUUUCUUUUGUUUUUCCGUCAUAUGUACCGAAGAUUCUCGAUCUCGUUGUGGUAAAUGUGCGCGCGCGUCAUCAAAGUCAAGUAUGGCAAGUGAUAUAUACAUGAAAUAAAUAGUAAAAAAAAAGGAGAAAUAAUAAUCAUCAAGUUGAAUUUUAGAAAAAAUUAUAUUUUUUAUCCUUCUUUCACUCACGACCGAUUCAAAUUCAAUUUACGAGAUUAAGGCUCCCACAAUGUUUCGAGCAACAAAACAGGCCUUCAUCACAGUGUGGGGCUUGAGCUCAGUUUGCUUCGUCAGAAAUAAAAAGAGCUCCACCAGGCUCCCUUUCAACUUUCGUUAUUAAAAAUUAUGUUGAAUUCUUUGCGAUAUUUUACAAAAAUCCAACUCUGAACGAGCGACGUUUCGGAGUUAUUUUUUCGCUAUUCUCUCGUCAUUAUUCAUCUUCCGCGGGUUCAUCGUUACGCCACGAUUCCUAACUCCUAUAUAAUCCAUAUUAAUAUUAUUACAAUUUGUUUUAUUUCCAUUUUUAUUUUUCAUUCUUCUUUCGCUUAUGUAUGCUACUAUAUAUAUAUGAUCAUAAACAAAAAAAACACAGAAACACCUCCACACAACGACGGGGAUACCGCGUUCAUUGAAUAUGAAAACGCUGAGAGAAUGAAUUUUAAAAAAAAAAAAAAAAAAAAAAAGAAACGGGGCUAUUCGUAGCGAUCGAAAUACGAAAAUGAUGCGAACGUUGUUAUGUGGACGAAGAAAUGAAAAGUUUAAAAUGAUGAGAUGAGAAAAAAAAAUAUUGAAAAGAAGAUAACAAACGGAUGAUAAAAUGUCGCAGUAAAUAUAUAUGUGAAGAACCAUUGAGUGAUGCUGUGCUUGAAUGAAUUGGUACGCGUCUCUGCUGCGUGUUUGCCCGCGCGAAUGCGACUACGCAUUAAUAAUUAUCGUAUUAAGGAAAUUUUAAAAGUAAGAACAAAACAAAAAAUACAAUUAAACGAAAAAAAUUUCAAAUAUAAAUAAAAUAACGAGGGGGAAAAAAAAGAAAAAAAAAACAAAAAAAGAAAACCGAAAAGAAAAGAAACCACACAACAAAUACAAGUAAUGAACAAUGAAAUAAUUGAUAAUUGAUAAAUAUGAUGGAAUACAUACGAGUGUGCGUGUGAAUUUGUGACUGCCGGAGUGAAUGCGUGUAUCAAGUAAAUUAAUAAAAUAAUUAUACAUGCACAUGCUAUUGUCUAGUAUAUUAUACAUAUAAAUAUAUAUAUAUAUAUACAUAUAAACACGUAUGCAUAUGUAUAUAUACGUACAUAUUAAUAUUAUUUCUAUUAUUAUGAAGAAAAAAAAGGAAAAAACAAACAAGCAAACAAAUGUUACAGUGACGAAAGGGGAAACGAAAGAAUAAUUUACUCGUUAUUUCACAAAAUACUUCAUCGAUGAUUACGUCAAUCGUUCAUUGCUCUCAUCCUAUACUCUUUCCUAAUACCACCCUUUUCUUCUUCAGAAAUAAAAAGGAUGAAACAUUAAACAA
rnacentral:misc_RNA from 1 species